rnacentral:rRNA from 1 species
UACGGAGGGGGCUAGCGUUGUUCGGAAUUACUGGGCGUAAAGCGCGCGUAGGUGGCUUCGUAAGUCCGUUGUGAAAGUCAAAGGCUCAACCUUUGAAUGCCGAUGGAUACUGCGGAGCUAGAGUACGGAAGAGGCGAGUGGAAUUCCUGGUGUAGCGGUGGAAUGCGCAGAUAUCAGGAGGAACACCAAUAGCGAAGGCAGCUCGCUGGGACGUUACUGACACUAAGGCGCGAAAGCGUGGGGAGCGAACAGG